rnacentral:rRNA from 1 species
UACGUAGGGUGCGAGCGUUAAUCGGAAUUACUGGGCGUAAAGCGUGCGCAGGCGGCGCGUUAAGACAGGUGUGAAAGCCCCGAGCUUAACUUGGGAAUUGCGCUUGUGACUGGCGUGCUGGAGUGUGGCAGAGGGAGGUGGAAUUCCACGUGUAGCAGUGAAAUGCGUAGAGAUGUGGAGGAACACCGAUGGCGAAGGCAGCCUCCUGGGCCAGCACUGACGCUGGGGUGCGAAAGCAUGGGGAGCGAACAGG